rnacentral:rRNA from 1 species
CGUGUAGGCGGCCAAACAGGUCCGUUGUGAAAACUGGAGGCUUAACCUCCAGACGUCGACGGAAACCGUGUGGCUAGAGUCCGGAAGGGGAGAGUGGAAUUCCUGGUGUAGCGGUGAAAUGCGCAGAUAUCAGGAGGAACACCAGUGGCGAAAGCGGCUUUCUGGACGACAACUGACGCUGAGGCACGAAGGCCAGGGGAGCAAACG